rnacentral:RNase_P_RNA from 1 species
GAAGUGGUUCAGGUGAUCGCGCCCCGCACGAGCACGCGGGGUGAGGAAAGUCCGAGCUCCAGAGGGCAGGAUGCUGGGUAACGCCCAGGCCUCGCGAGGGGACGGAAAGUGCCACAGAGAACAGACCGCCGACGAUGCGGAAGAGAUGGCAGGGGAGCUCCAGUCAUCUCGGACGCAUUCGGGCAAGGGUGAAACGGCGAGGUAAGAGCUCACCGCCCCGCCAGCGAUGGCGGGGGCACGGCAAACCCCAUCCGGAGCAAGACCAAAUAGGUUCCGCCUGGUCCUCCAAGGACCCUAGGACGGCCCGUCUGAAGAGAAUCGUAUUCCGGGCGGAACGGGUUGGUUGCUUGAGGUCCCGAGUAAUCGAGAUCCCAGAGAAAUGAUCGCCACCCCGGCGGAGUGAUCCCAAGGGGCACAGAACUCGGCUUACGAACCGCUUCAGUG